rnacentral:rRNA from 1 species
UACGAAGGCCACAAGCGUUAUCCGGAUUUAUUGGGCGUAAAGGGCGCGUAGGGGGUUUUGCAAGUCUGUGGUUAAAUUCCGGAGCUCAACUUCGGAUCUGCCAUAGAAACUGCAAGACUAGAGGGCGUUAGAGGUAAGCGGAACGCACGGUGUAGGGGUGAAAUCCGUUGAUAUCGUGCGGAACACCAGAGGCGAAGGCGGCUUACUGGGACGUUCCUGACCCUGAGGCGCGAAAGCGUGGGGAGCAAAAAGG